rnacentral:lncRNA from 10 species
AGUAUGUGACACUAAAAGAGAUGCCAGCUGUGCUUGUUUUCAAAGAUGAAACUUACUUUGUUUAUGAUGAUAAUAACUACACACUUAUGCUGUCAUAUAAAAGCUUUUAUUUUAGAUUCAGAGUCUACAUGUGCAGGUUUGUUACAUGGGUGUAUUGGAUGAUGCUGAGGUUUGGGGUACAAAUGAUCCCGUCACCCAGGUAAUAAGCAUAGUACCCAACAGGUAGUUUUUUUAGCCCUUGUCCUCCUCCCCAUCUCCCUAGUGUCUGUUAUUCCCAUCUUUAUGUCCGUAUGUACCCAAUGUUUACCGCCCACUUAUAAAUGAGAACUUGCGAUAUUUGGGAUAGUUUAUUUUCGAAUGAAAUUCAAAUUGAUCACUGUAUGCAAUCUCGUAGAAAAUUUGCUUUUAGCAUGCAGUGGACAUUGUGGCCCAGUAAUCAAUUUCUAGUUUUAUGUUUAUUUUCCUAAUUUAUAAAUUUAAAUCAAUAAAUUCUUUGAGAUUUGCAUUGCAUCACUUAUUUUAUGGGUUUGAUAACUUGAAAAUGUUUUGUUUAGCAAUGCAAGAAAAAGCAUACCUUUGAAGAGGUCAUUAAAAUCCAUUCUUCAACCAGAUGUAUUGGUAGGCUUUUAUAGACAUUUGCUUUACAUCACCACCUUUUUUAUGCAAUUGUAAUAAUUUUGAACAAUUACUUGAGAAUUACAUUUCUAAUUAGGAUGUAAUAUUUCUCUUAGAUAUUAUAUUUUCUAUCUGCUUAGCAGAGGAAUUAUUUUAUAUUGGAAAAAAGCUAAGGUACUAUGAUUUUAUAUGUGUUUGUGUUAGUUGUACCUUUGAGAAAGAGUUGUAAACUAGGAAGACUAUCAUAAAGAGAGGAGAGCAAAGAAAUUGUAAUAAAAAUUACCUGUAGUGCCAUGACCCAAGUAUAACCAUUGAUUCAGGGAAACCAUUUAGGAAUAACUGACUUCAUUUUAUCAUUCUAUGAGUUUAUCUUUUCAUACUUUCUUUUACGAAGUUACAGUUAUGCUGUUAUGUAUUGUAUUGUAACCUGUAUUGUUUUGUAAUCUGUUCAAUUAUAAGUUUUUUUGAAAAUUUAUAAAUGAUCUUUAUCGACAUAUACCAAAA